rnacentral:rRNA from 1 species
GAAUCCGCYAAGGAGUGUGUAACAACUCACCUGCCGAAUGAAUUAGCCCUGAAAAUGGAUGGCGCUCAAGCGGGCGGCCGACACUGCGCCGUUUGGACAAAUUUCACGUUCCAGAUGAGUAGGAGGACGUGGCGGUUGUACAGAAGCGUGCGCGCGAGCGUGCGUGGAACGGCCGUUAGUGCAGAUCUUGGUGGUAGUAGCAAAUAUUCAAAUGAGAUCCUUGAAGGGUGAAGCGGGGAAGGGUUCCACGCGAACAUUGGUUGCGCGCGGGUGAGUCGAUCCUAAGCCGUCUGGCAAUUGCUAGUCACCGGCGAAAGGGAAGCAGGUUGAUAUUCCUGCACACGGAUGUAGAUGGGGUGACCCACGUCGGGGUGGUGAAGUCGUCGAGAUCGCACUGGGCAGAGAUUUCUUUUCUGUUUGACACCAGGGGUGUACUCUGUGGAAUCCGCUUGUCGGGAGAAACAGGUAGUGCCUUGGCAUAGCGCCGGGAUUUUUCUGGCGUCCAGAUCGCGGCCGGUGGCCCUUGAAAAACCACUGUCUGGCUCAUUUAGUAGCUCUUCCUUCUGGGGGGGCGAGUUUUGAGUGUAAAACUUCUACGCCGUAUCGUACCCAUAACCGCAUCAGGUCCCCAAGGUGAACAGCCUCUGUCCGAUAUGAUUAAUGCAGGUAAGGGAAGUCGGCA